UUGCAUCGAUUGGAGAACGCAGCUAAUUGCGCGUCAACAUGUGAACUGCAGGACACAUGAACAUCGACAUUUCGAACGCACAUUGCGGUCCUCGGAUACUGUUCCUGGACCACACCUAGCUGAGGGUCGUA
rnacentral:rRNA from 1 species